rnacentral:lncRNA from 1 species
UUGAUCGGUAUUUAUGGAUAAAAAUUCAAAACGCAAUAUUUCAACACAGCGGGCUAAGUGUUUUUUCCCCAAAUUUUCAUUUUCACAAUCUCAUUGCAAAUUCUCAAAAUUUCUCUAUUCCUAUCGAUUAUACCUUCAAUUGAUUCCUUCUUCAAUGAAUUUCACGCUCGUCCAUCAAUCGCGACCUACAAAACUUUCAAAACCCUCAUAAUCGUCCGGUUCUUCUCUACUCAGUACUCACGAACCAAGAACCUGUUCUUCUCUAUUCCUUUCCUAUUUCCAAAUUUCUCUAACGCGACGCAAGAAUCCCU